rnacentral:rRNA from 1 species
AUUGAACGCUGGCGGCAGGCUUAACACAUGCAAGUCGAGCGGAGUGAUGGUGCUUGCACUAUCACUUAGCGGCGGACGGGUGAGUAAUGCCUAGGAAUCUGCCUAUUAGUGGGGGACAACAUCUCGAAAGGGAUGCUAAUACCGCAUACGUCCUACGGGAGAAAGCAGGGGAUCACUUGUGACCUUGCGCUAAUAGAUGAGCCUAAGUCGGAUUAGCUAGUUGGUGGGGUAAAGGCCUACCAAGGCGACGAUCUGUAGCGGGUCGGAGAGGAUGAUCCGCCACACUGGGACUGAGACACGGCCCAGACUCCUACGGGAGGCAGCAGUGGGGAAUAUUGGACAAUGGGGGGAACCCUGAUCCAGCCAUGCCGCGUGUGUGAAGAAGGCCCUAUGGUUGUAAAGCACUUUAAGCGAGGAGGAGGCUCUUUUGGUUAAUACCCAAGAUGAGUGGACGUUACUCGCAGAAUAAGCACCGGCUAACUCUGUGCCAGCCGCCGCCGUAA